GGCAAUGUGCACGCCUUUUGUCUAUUUCU
rnacentral:rRNA from 1 species